GUUCCGUUAGCUCAGUUGGUAGAGCAAAUGACUCUUAAUCAUUGGGUCGUAGGUUCGAAUCCUACACGGAGCACCA
rnacentral:tRNA from 1 species